AGGAUGACGCCGUGAGGAAGCAGGCAGCUGAGACGCUCACGGAAUAGAUAGUCCCUUGUACAGGUACGAACAGCCUACCACACAUCCAGUAAUUUAUCUAUUUAAAUACUGGUAAGUUGCCUUUACAAGUUUCUUUGCCAACGGCGAGUCAUAAUUGUAAGGGCCAUGAAUAUGUCCAACCGACUCAUAACUGUCCUUAUAUCUCUUAAUUACAACUCGCGAAUGUAGCAGUUGUACAUAAUCUGAUGACAUUUUUAGCCUCAUAAUUCUUGCGAUGAUGCCCCUCCGUGGCCGGUCGAAUGAGGAGAGUGAGUGCCGGUUGAUUCGUGCUUCUAAAGGACGCAUCUGCCUUCCCGAUGCGUUUGAAUGGCCGGUUACAGCGCCGAGUUCCUUCUAGGGCUUCAUUGAAAGGGACGCAGGCCACCACGCGAGGUUGGCGAGCCGCGGUCGAGGGAGAGGUUUCAUUUUUUUAGUCUGUUUUUAAAGGUAAUCAAUAGUAUUUUUUGGUCUUUUCUUUUCUAUCAGGUAGUUUUCCAACUUCUUAAUGCCUCGGGGAGAAUGGUUGCAGCUUUUGAAUAAUAUGCUUCUCAUGGUAUUCUUAUGAGGUUCACACUCCUAGGAUUAGGAAUAUCCAAAACAAACAAAGAUUUAAAUUGUUAAAAUAAACACACUUGGCGGUGACGCUGCAUAACCAACAAUCUGGCAUGAUACAUCUCUCCCUUGACAGCUCUAGAUGGGACUAAAUGAACUUUCCAUGUUCCUUUAGCAGGCGUUUGCUUGCUGUGCUACGAGAGAUAAGAAAAAGAAGGAAAAAAAGAAAAAUGCAAUGCGCACGUGAUAAGUUGGAGUAAAAAAAAAUUGUAUAUAUAUAUGUGACACGCCAAAAAGCUUGUUAAUGGAAUAACCAAAUGAACGCGAGAUAAAACUAAAAUGGAAGAGAACUCGUGUUGCGUGAAUAUU